GAAAAAGUGACACCUGGGUAGCCAUGACGGCACUUACAGCGUUCGCUUGUUAGUGUCACUAUUACAUAACAGAAAUGAGAACUCCUGGGAGAAAUAGGCAGAUUCCAGGAGUGGGGCAGGGCAAAUACAAUAUGAGUCUUAAAUAUCUUGCGGUGCCAGAAGGAGUGGAUGUUAUGACAGAGGAAUGUAGGAAGGAAGGACAUCAGGCUCUGAACAUCCAUCCAUGUAAAACAUUGAAUAAGACUAGCUGUUAAACAGGGCUUUUUCCCUAGAAAGGUGUCAUAAUUGUGACUCCAUCAAAUUCUUCUAACAGCAAGUACUCAUUUG
rnacentral:lncRNA from 1 species